rnacentral:rRNA from 1 species
CAGCCCCUCGAGUGGUGGGGAUGAUUAUUUGGCCUAAAGCGUCCGUAGCCGGCCGGGUAAGUUUCCCGUUAAAUCCAGCGUCUCAAGCGUUGGACUGCGGGAAAUACUGCCUGGCUAGAGAGUGGGAGAGGUCAGCGGUAUUCUGGGGGUAGGGGCGAAAUCCUUUGAUCCCCGGAGGACCACCAGUGGCGAAGGCUGCUGACUAGAACACGUCUGACGGUCAGGGACGAAAGCUGGGGUAGCGAACCGGAUUAGAGACCCGAGUAGUCC